GCCGGGCGUGGUGGCUCACGCCUGUAAUCCCAACACUUUGGGAGGCCAAGGUGGGUGGAUCACCUGAGGUCAGGAGUUCAAGACCAGCCUGGCCAACAUGGUGAAACCCCAUCUCUA
rnacentral:SRP_RNA from 1 species